AAAAAAAAAGCAACUCAAAGCAACUCACAUACGUUCAGCUCCUUCUAUUGCACAUACAAGGGAACUGGGAAUAUUUGUGCAGUAGAGUCAUCAUUUGGCUCCAAACAACAAAAGAAUAUUUAUUCAGCCUUUGGGCAUAAUAUAAUCUAAAGAGGGGCAAGUGAGAUUUCAAAAGGUUAAUUUUAUACCAAUACCACUGGACAAAGAUGACUGUCAUAAAAGGAAAGAUCAUGGAAACCUGAGCCUGCAGCUACCCAAAGGAUGGGAGUUGAAGCAGCUGUUUGCACAGGAAAAAGAAAGUUACAAAAGAGAAGAGUUUGCCAAUUAAACGGACAAGCUAGUUCCCAGCCAGCUU